rnacentral:rRNA from 1 species
GACGAACGCUGGCGGCGUGCCUAAUACAUGCAAGUAGAACGCUGAAGAGAGGAGCUUGCUCUUCUUGGAUGAGUUGCGAACGGGUGAGUAACGCGUAGGUAACCUGCCUGGUAGCGGGGGAUAACUAUUGGAAACGAUAGCUAAUACCGCAUAAUAGUAGAUGUUGCAUGACAUUUGCUUAAAAGGUGCAAUUGCAUCNCUACCAGAUGGACCUGCGUUGUAUUAGCUAGUUGGUGAGGUAACGGCUCACCAAGGCAACGAUACAUAGCCGACCUGAGAGGGUGAUCGGCCACACUGGGACUGAGACACGGCCCAGACUCCUACGGGAGGCAGCAGUAGGGAAUCUUCGGCAAUGGACGGAAGUCCGACCGAGCAACGCCGCGUGAGUGAAGAAGGUUUUCGGAUCGUAAAGCUCUGUUGUAAGAGAAGAACGAGUGUGAGAGUGGAAAGUUCACACUGUGACGGUAUCUUACCAGAAAGGGACGGCUAACUACGUGCCAGCAGCCGCGGUAAUACGUAGGUCCCGAGCGUUGUCCGGAUUUAUUGGGCGUAAAGCGAGCGCAGGCGGUUAGAUAAGUCUGAAGUUAAAGGCUGUGGCUUAACCAUAGUACGCUUUGGAAACUGUUUAACUUGAGUGCAAGAGGGGAGAGUGGAAUUCCAUGUGUAGCGGUGAAAUGCGUAGAUAUAUGGAGGAACACCGGUGGCGAAAGCGGCUCUCUGGCUUGUAACUGACGCUGAGGCUCGAAAGCGUGGGGAGCAAACAGG